rnacentral:rRNA from 1 species
UGCCCGAAGGGUGACGAAGCGACGCCGCGUGGGUGAGGAAGGCCUUCGGGUUGUAAAGCCCUGUCAGGAGUUAAGAAAUGUAGACUCGCUAAUAUCGGGUCUAUUUGACAAAGGCUCCAAAGGAAGCCACGGCUAACUCUGUGCCAGCAGCCGCGGUAAUACAGAGGUGGCAAGCGUUGUUCGGAAUUAUUGGGCGUAAAGAGCACGUAGGUGGAUUUGUAAGUCAGACGUGAAAGCCUUCUGUUCAACGGAGGAAUUGCAUCUGAAACUACAAACCUUGAGUGUAGGAGGGGAGAAUGGAACUUCUGGUGGAGCGGUGAAAUGCGUAGAUAUCAGAAGGAACGCCGGCGGCGAAAGCGAUUCUCUGGCCUAUUACUGACACUCAGUGUGCGAAAGCUAGGGGAGCAAACGGGAUUAGAUACCCCGGUAGUCCUAGCCGUAAACGAUGGGCACUAAGUAGAGGGGU